UUGGACAAUGGGCGCAAGCCUGAUCCAGCCAUACCGCGUGGGUGAAGAAGGCUUCGGGUUGUAAAGCCCUUUUGUUGGGAAAGAAAUCCAGCCGGCUAAUACCUGGUUGGGAUGACGGUACCCAAAGAAUAAGCACCGGCUAACUUCGUGCCAGCAGCCGCGGUAAUACGAAGGGUGCAAGCGUUACUCGGAAUUACUGGGCGUAAAGCGUGCGUAGGUGGUCGUUUAAGUCCGUUGUGAAAGCCCUGGGCUCAACCUGGGAACUGCAGUGGAUACUGGGCGACUAGAGUGUGGUAGAGGGUAGCGGAAUUCCUGGUGUAGCAGUGAAAUGCGUAGAGAUCAGGAGGAACAUCCAUGSCGAAGGCAGCUACCUGGACCAACACUSACACUGASGCACSAAAGCGUGGGGACCAAACASVAUUAGAUACCC
rnacentral:rRNA from 1 species